AUUUUAUGUUAAGACGUAAACAAAAAAAGUACAACGGCAAUAUCAAGUUCCAUAUAUAUUAAACACGUUGACAAAAUCAAACAGCCCAAGUGGAAAACAAUUAUUAUAUUUAACAUACAACUAAAAGUUACAUUUACUCAAAGAUAAGUUUGUUGUCUGUGGAAUUAGUAUUUCCUGAUUUGUAAAACAUCGUGAUUACAUUUUGGAGAUAGAUGACACUUUUGCCUUGAUUCGUUUAAACCUGUUUGAUAUAGGACAUCUCUCUGUAAUACAUAAAUAUAAUCGUUUUAUAAACUGACAUUAUGUUGGAAAUGUUUCAGUGUUUCAUUCUUUUAUCUUAAUUCACACAACACA
rnacentral:lncRNA from 1 species